rnacentral:rRNA from 1 species
UACGGACGGUGCAAGCGUUGAUCGGAAUUAUUGGGCGUAAAGCGCGCGUAGGCGGCUUGGUAAGUCGGGUGUGAAAGCCCCGGGCUCAACCUGGGAACGGCACUCGAUGCUGCUGGGCUGGAGUACGAGAGGGGGGGGUGGAAUUCCAGGUGUAGCGGUGAAAUGCGUAGAGAUCUGGAGGAACACCGGUGGCGAGGGCGGCCCCCUGGCUCGAUACUGACGCUGAGGUGCGAAAGCGUGGGGAGCAAACAGG